rnacentral:rRNA from 1 species
UACGGAGGGUGCAAGCAUUAAUCGGAAUUAUUGGGCGUAAAGGGCGCGUAGGCGGGAAUGGAAGUCAGAUGUGAAAUGCCGAGGCUCAACCUCGGAACUGCAUUUGAAACUCCAUUUCUAGAGGAUAGGCGGAGAAAGCGGAAUUCCACAAGUAGCGGUGAAAUGCGUAGAUAUGUGGAAGAACACCUGUGGCGAAAGCGGCUUUCUAGCUUAAACCUGACGCUAAUGCGCGAAAGCAAGGGGAGCAAACAGG